rnacentral:rRNA from 1 species
GUGGGGAAUCUUGCGCAAUGGGCGAAAGCCUGACGCAACCAUGCCGCGUGGAUGAUGAAGGUCUUAGGAUUGUAAAAUCCUUUCACCGGUGAAGAUAAUGACUGUAGCCGGAGAAGAAGCCCCGGCUAACUUCGUGCCAGCAGCCGCGGUAAUACGAAGGGGGCUAGCGUUGCUCGGAUUUACUGGGCGUAAAGGGCGCGUAGGCGGACAUUUAAGUCAGGGGUGAAAUCCCGGGGCUCAACCUCGGAACUGCCUUUGAUACUGGGUGUCUUGAGUAUGAGAGAGGUGUGUGGAACUCCGAGUGUAGAGGUGAAAUUCGUAGAUAUUCGGAAGAACACCAGUGGCGAAGGCGACACACUGGCUCAUUACUGACGCUGAGGCGCGAAAGCGUGGGGAGCAAACAGGAUUAGAAACCCCUGUAGUCC